GUCCACGCCCUAAACGAUGAUCACUCGAUGUAUGCGAUACACUGUACGCGUCCAAGCGAAAGCGAUAAGUGAUCCACCUGGGGAGUACGGCCGCAAGGCUGAAAACUCAAAAGGGAAUUGACGGGGGCCCGCACAAGCGGAGGAGCAUGUGGUUUAAUUCGAUGAUACGCGCGGAACCUUACCAGGGCUUGAAAAGUUAGUGAAUGACGUAGAAAUAUGUCAGCCAGCAAAUGGCACGAAACUAGGUGCUGCAUGGCUGUCGU
rnacentral:rRNA from 1 species